UGGGUUAGUGGCGGACGGGUGAGUAACGCGUGGAUAACCUGCCGUAUACAGGGGGAUAACACUUAGAAAUAGGUGCUAACACCGCAUAAGCGCACGGUUCCGCAUGGAACAGUGUGAAAAACUCCGGUGGUAUACGAUGGAUCCGCGUCUGAUUAGCCAGUUGGCGGGGUAACGGCCCACCAAAGCGACGAUCAGUAGCCGGCCUGAGAGGGUGAACGGCCACAUUGGGACUGAGACACGGCCCAAACUCCUACGGAAGGCAGCAG
rnacentral:rRNA from 1 species